AGCAUUAGUGCCAUGGAGGAUUGUGCAGGCCGGCAGGUUGCUACAGUUUCCUAGUAGCAUGUARGCUUUAGGGAUCAGAUCUGGCUGACUUUUUCACCUGAACUGCUCAUUGGCUGUCCAUAAUGAGCCCAGCAAGCAGGAUGUGUAGCUGGGCUCUGCAAUAACUAGCUCCCAGAGCAAUUACAAAUAACUAUUCUUGUUUUAAUAGCGUCAUUACAACUAGCAACAUGACAUUCAGUCACCUCAGUAGAAACGCUAUGUGUUGGAUUCGUCCAUGUCUUGCUAAAUMACCUAGCUACCAUAACAGCUGUGGAGAAUUUAUACCCCAGUUUUYAGGGAUCUCUCUGAAGGUUUUAGAUGAUACAGUGGUGCUUCGUCCUCUGGAUGAAGAAUCAUACAUCUCGGCUUGGCUUCAUUGCAUUAUUAUUUGGGAAACGUUGACAUGCCAUUUGUGUUGACGGAUGGAUGAAAAUAAUGUAAUUAUAGUAUCUUUAUACAUAGGCUAGCAGGAAAAUCCGCAUGAGAUACCCAUAGAACUGAGCCCUGCUCCAUUUCAGCACCAUGCCGCGGUCUCAGGUGCUGCCCAGACUCGAAACAUUUCAGCACCAUGGCACGGUCCCCUGACGCCUAGAAACAACGUGAAUUCGGAGGAUCAACCGGAUGACCAAAAUAAAGUUGUGGAGAAUAUGAAGGAUGAAACAGAGACACAUGAGACCAACAAGAACAGGACAGGAGGCAAGGCUAAACGUAAGUCCAGUGGCCGUGCCAAGAAGACUUCCGUGGAGGAGGACAGCAGCAUUGGUGCAGGUCCGAGAUUACUUCA